rnacentral:rRNA from 1 species
UACGAAGGGGGCUAGCGUUGUUCGGAUUUACUGGGCGUAAAGCGCACGUAGGCGGACUAUUAAGUCAGGGGUGAAAUCCCGGGGCUCAACCCCGGAACUGCCUUUGAUACUGGUAGUCUUGAGUUCGAGAGAGGUGAGUGGAAUUCCGAGUGUAGAGGUGAAAUUCGUAGAUAUUCGGAGGAACACCAGUGGCGAAGGCGGCUCACUGGCGCGAUACUGACGCUGAGGUGCGAAAGCGUGGGGAGCAAACAGG